AGACAGAGCUCUAGCACAAUCAUAGCUCCCUGAAAUACUGCUAUGCUAGGCUUUAGCUUGGACGGAACAAUAGCACUGUCAAUUAAAAUGACAAGCCCCUCCCCUUUAUAUAUAACGCCUUUGUCAACGGUUGAUAAUGAGAGCUAAUGAGGAGACCCUAGCUAAUUUACUGGGGCGAGCAUGGCCAAAGUGUUACAGAUUACAUUUAAAGGUAUGAACCAGUGCUGGUGGUCCACUGGGUUGGAACAAAAAGCAGGACACGUCGGCCCUCCAGGACUGGAGUUGUGCAGCCCUGACCUAAGGUAGCAGUGGGCUUCUGGUAGAAAAGAGGCCCAGAGCCCUCAGGCCUGUGUGUGUUCCAGCAGAGCCAUUAGCCUUAAAGCGGCGCGCCCUCCCCUGGCCUCAGAGCAGCUCGUGAGCCCCUCUGCUCCUCCCACCCCAGCAGGAUCUCCAGUUUCAGAAGCCUCCACGGGAUGUCCGGGUCGUCCCCCAUCACCGUAAGCGUGGCCUCGAACUCGCCCUCCACCCGGAACUUCACCCGCCCGUUGGCUAAGACAAGGUGACACACAAGCUGCCUGCUGCUCUGGUAUUGUCUCCUUCAAUUUACUGAAACAGCUGCUGGCCUGAUACUAUAUACUAACUUUGAGCAACAGAAUAUAAACUGUUUGAAAUAUAAACAUGAAUGCCAUCUCAUGCAGAAAACACAUUGAAAAAGAUGUUUUUGUGCACAUGAUUUUGUUUUUAUGACUUGCCUGUACCUUAGUGCAGAUUCAUAUAUUUUUGAGCAUUAGUUUCUUAAAAUUUGACAUGUAGCCAAUGAUGAUUCAUUCAUUAAAGUUUACAUGCUCAUGCAUAUGAUCCAGUAAUGAUUUAAUUGGAUUGUAUCAAUAAGUCAUUUUUCAUCUUUUUAAGUCAAUGAUGUGUUACAUCAGAAAAGCCAUAUGUACAGUCCAUUAUACCUCCAAAAUGUCAUCUCAUCUCAAAUGAAAGAACACCAAGUACAUUCCAGAAAGUAUUGUAUUGGAGUGCCUAAACUGGACUCUCUCAUGGUUUUGUAAUAAGAGAAAAUAUGACAUACAGCAGAUUGUGUUGGAUUGAUG